rnacentral:rRNA from 1 species
GAUGAACGCUGGCGGCGUGCCUAAUACAUGCAAGUCGAGCGAACAGACGAGGAGCUUGCUCCUCUGACGUUAGCGGCGGACGGGUGAGUAACACGUGGAUAACCUACCUAUAAGACUGGGAUAACUUCGGGAAACCGGAGCUAAUACCGGAUAAUAUAUUGAACCGCAUGGUUCAAUAGUGAAAGACGGUUUUGCUGUCACUUAUAGAUGGAUCCGCGCCGCAUUAGCUAGUUGGUAAGGUAACGGCUUACCAAGGCGACGAUGCGUAGCCGACCUGAGAGGGUGAUCGGCCACACUGGAACUGAGACACGGUCCAGACUCCUACGGGAGGCAGCAGUAGGGAAUCUUCCGCAAUGGGCGAAAGCCUGACGCAGCAACGCCGCGUGAGUGAUGAAGGUCUUCGGAUCGUAAAGCUCUGUUAUUAGGGAAGAACAAAUGUGUAAGUAACUAUGCACGUCUUGACGGUACCUAAUCAGAAAGCCACGGCUAACUACGUG